rnacentral:rRNA from 1 species
GUGGGGAAUAUUGGACAAUGGGCGAAAGCCUGAUCCAGCCAUGCCGCGUGUGUGAAGAAGGUCUUCGGAUUGUAAAGCACUUUAAGUUGGGAGGAAGGGCAGUAAGUUAAUACCUUGCUGUUUUGACGUUACCGACAGAAUAAGCACCGGCUAACUUCGUGCCAGCAGCCGCGGUAAUACGAAGGGUGCAAGCGUUAAUCGGAAUUACUGGGCGUAAAGCGCGCGUAGGUGGUUUUGUAAGUUGGAGGUGAAAUCCCCGGGCUCAACCUGGGAACUGCCUCCAAAACUGCAUGACUAGAGUACGGUAGAGGGUAGUGGAAUUUCCUGUGUAGCGGUGAAAUGCGUAGAUAUAGGAAGGAACACCAGUGGCGAAGGCGACUACCUGGACUGAUACUGACACUGAGGUGCGAAAGCGUGGGGAGCAAAUGGGAUUAGAUACCCGAGUAGUCC